GCUGGCUGUGGGUUUGUUGGCUGUGCUGAGCUGAUGGAGGCUUAGGUGGGUGUGUGAGGGAGAGGAAUAAGUUGGUUGGUCCUGCAGAAGGAAGAAGUCAGUGCUGUGUGGAGCUGCCCAUAGGAAACUCAGAGAGAGAAGGCAUGAUCUGAGAAUAAAAGCAUCUGUUUUCAGAAAUGGAGACUGUUUUGUUUUAUUAAGCUGUGGUAAUUAUCCUGUAUAAGUCCACUGGUUCAAAGCUCCUGAUGUAACCUCUGAGAGAUAAUAAAGUUGGAUACAUUCUGCCAUGGAGAAGCACAAUGGGGUUAUCAGAGAGCAAGAAGUUGCCCAACUGUGGCUCAGUGACUUAAGAGCUGGGAUAAAAAGUUCCAGACCAGGUUCACAGAAGGUAGAUGUGGCAAAUUGAGCUGACUUGGAAGAAAAGAGAUUUUUAUGGAUGGAAUGCAGAGCUUCUACAUGACUGCAGCGAAGCAGGUGAUGUGGAGAUUGAUGGAUCCACUGAAAGAUGGAUAAAGUAUGAUUCAAGGAGAAACCUGUACUGAUAGGAACCUAUUGGUGUUCUGCGAUGUUCAUGUUAUUUACUUUUGUCAUUCAACAGGCUUGGCACACUGAAGUAUGUUACAAGGUUAGGAGGCAAGACUAACAUGCCAGACGUGCAAGUUAUUGUUACAAGGGUUGUGCUGGAGUAUCUGAAAUAGAUUCAUUUUCUAUACAUUCCCAGUGCAAGGCUAUAGCUAAGGGGAUCUGUUCUGCUGAGGGUAUUGGAAGAGAAACCAGGGGGAGCUGAUCACCAGGAAAUGAGCAUGGAGAGAAUUGAUUAUAUAAUAUCUGAGUGUUGUCACAGGACACCUGACAUACACUUGUGGAACAUGUGUAUGGUUCUGGUGAAGUUUUCCCAGCAAAAGACGUAGAAAUAUUUCUGCUGUUUAAAGGAUGUGAAUUACACCUUGUCUUGAAUGCCACUUAUAGUUCUGAUUGUCCAUCUUCAAAAGAAAUUAAACCAGUAAAAGGAUUGCAGUACACUGCCAGUACCUAAACGGGCCUGCAAGAGAGCUGGAGGACUUCAUAGAAGGACCUGUAAUGGCAGGACAAAGUAAUAGUUGAAAGAGGGUAGAUUUAGAUUAGAUAUAAGGAAGGAAUUCUUCUCUGUGAGGGUGGUGAGACACUGGCACAGGAUGCCCAAAAAAGUUGUGGAUGCCCCAUUACUGGAAGUGUUCAAGGCCAGGUUGGAUGGGUUUUUGAGCAACCUCGUCUAGAGAAAGGUGUCCCUGCCUGCGGCAGAAGGGUUGAAACUAGAUGAUCUUUCAGGUGUCUUCCAACCCAAACUACUCUGAUUUUGUUAUUGCUGGGAUGACUGCGGAAAUGGAAAGCAUUCUUAUCAGAAAAUACUUAGAAAACUGUGUUUAUUCCAGCAAAGUCAGUCUAAUUUGAGGAGGGCUAUAAUUGCUCUUAUAAAUACAUCAGGGAGAUUCAAGAGCUGUUUCAGAUGAAGUACAGUGCUGGUGCAAGAGGAAAGGGAUAUGAAAUAGCCUUGAAUAAAUUCAGAUUAGAAUUAAACAGAGGCUUAAAUUGUCUGAGAAAACAGCUUCUGAAACAGAAUUUCUAAAGGAGUACUGGGAGUUAAAUUUAAUUGAUUUAAAACAGAAACUAGUUUAUUUUAAGAAGAGCUUAUACUACAUAAUGCUUGUGAUUGCUCAGGAUUGGAUUCCCUUUGAUAAUUAAGAAGAUGCCUUGCUUGUGAUACCUUGCCUUUCACAAGCUCCCUCCUGGUGUAUGACUACAUUCCCACAUUGUGAUUCUGCCAUAUCAGUAAUUCUGAUGGGGAGGAAGGAAGGAAAAGAGUGAUUAGUAGCAAAACUUUCUAUUAGUACCAGCCUCCAAACCUGAGUGUCAAUAAGUAGUAACAGAUUCUGGUUUUGGGGGAAGUCUUGAAAUAUGCCUUUGCCAGCAUGUCCCAGAAAUCUAAUUUUAAUGAUUGACAUACCUAUAGCAUUAGCACUUUAUAACAUGUUUCAAUUAUCUUGAAUUACACUCAAUUCCAAAUUAAAUGCUAAUAAAAAUAAUAUAAAAACCUUGUAAAACCUCAAAUAGCUGACAAGGUCACAAAAGUUUCUGCAUAUGUGCUUUACAGUAGAAGUAUCAAAUAAUUGGCUACCAGAAUUUUCCUGCUUUCUACAGUGAGAACUACCCAGCUGAUACAACUUUAGAAUUUCUGGAUCAAAGUUCCAGCACACCCAUAGGCGAUGAGUGCAAAUUCCACACUUUCUCUCUGUUGCACUCUAUCUUUCCAGCCAUGUUUCUUAGGGUCUCCAGCCAAAGCAGACUUUUCCUUUGACGUUACUGUAAAUGUCAUGUUCAUGGUCUUUACUCCUUUGGUUCUAAAAAAACUAAAUGUCCUUUAGAACAGCUAAGCACAGUCUUCUACCUGCUUGGGAAACCCCAGGUUUCCCAAUCUCCUCCUGUGUUGGAUAUUGCUAAAUUAGGAGUGACUUGUUAAUGUACAAUAGCAUACAAAUCUGUUUGCUACCACAGGAGCUUAUGUUCGUGCUUUGGCCCCAAAAUACACAGAACACUGGUUUUUGCAUAAAUAUCUUCACUGCCAACCAUUUCGUGAACAUGCAGCUGAAUAAGAUUUGAACACUGCUGUUUUGAUGAAGACAACAUAACACCUUUGAGCUAGUGAUGUAUUUGGGGGGGACUCCUGCCCCGAGAGUCUUAAUGAAAAAUAAAGUGGUAUAACUUUUUAUAUUUAAGUUAUUUAUACAUGUUAAAGAUGUAUUUGAACAUUAAAGUCUCUGUCAGAUAGAUAUGAAUGGAUAUUUGUUAUUUGUUUAAGGAAAACUUUGCAAUAACUCUCAGACUCUGUAGGCACAAAGAAAAUCAAUGUCACUGUAAAAAAUGUAAACCUCCUUUGGAUUGAGUACUGGUUUAAUACUACUUUUUCUAUCUAAUAUGUUGCUUAUCUAUUCAAAACUGUGAAGAACUGGAGGUCUAUCUACUACAAAUACUACUGCGUAUAGAAACUUUGAGAAAUCAGUAUUUUCACAGUACUGAAAACUAGAACAUUGAGAGAGCUUGAUUUUGUGCUGUUUGCUUUCUACCUUA